GGCUCUACCAGGCACAUCAGGGAUCUUCUGACACCAUCCCAAACUAAUCCAACUCCUUCAUACAAAAGGAAGAAUGGGCAGGAGAUCACAGAUAAAUAAAUGUAUCUGCAAUGACUUCUGGUCUGUAUUUACCCAUUGUUCUGCCUCAGAGGAAAGGACCCACAUGAAGCUACAAGUGAAGAGGUAAGAGUUGUUGUCAGACAACAGGCAACGAUGCCUCCACACGCAGCAUCAGAAGUGCUGGCCAGUACUCAAGUGAGCUUCAGUGUGUGCCUUUUAACAGUCAUCUCUCUAGAUGAUACUUCAGCUGAACCACCAUCGUGAUUGAACCUGAUAUAUGAGCAGACACCACGUUGAGCUCCUCUGCAGAAACUGUGG
rnacentral:lncRNA from 1 species